GGGGCGUGGUCGCUGCGGAGGCGGGGCCGGAAGUCCUGCCCCUUGACUGCGCCACGUCCGAGGCGGCGGUUGCCGCGUCGGUGUCGGCGUUGAAGAGCCGGGGAAGGCACCAUGGCGGACUGGGGUAGGGGUCAGAGUCCUGGUGCUGUGGAAGAGAUACUAGACCGGGAGAACAAGCGAAUGACCGACAGCCUGGCCUCCAAAGUCACCAGGCUCAAAUCGCUUGCCCUGGACAUCGACAGGGACGCAGAGGAUCAGAACCGGUACCUGGAUGGCAUGACAGGGCACUGCUUCAGGGUUGGCUGUUCUUGCUCUACAACGUGGAGGCCUCACCGUCCAUCUGAAGGCUCACUCACGUCCAGAGGUCAGUGCUGGAGAGUGGAGGGCCUGGCUGGGCCGACUGCCUGGGAUGAUGAGUUCCGUCUUACCAUGCUUAAGCUUCCUCACAUGAUGGCUGGUGCUGGAGCAAAUGUGGACACAGUGGUAAAGGGUGGGGGGUGGGGUGGGCCCUGGUAUCCAGGCAGUGGAUACAGGUAUCCUUGGUACAUUGUAUGCCUGGCAUCAGAAACCAGGUGGCAUCAGUUCUGCCAUACCUCAUUAUUCAGGACAGUCACGGCUGCCGUCCAGAUUCAAGGGGAGGGACACAGCAUUGCUCAGAGGUGACGAACACAGGCGUGGCUGUCUUUGGAGUUCAAGGCAGACAGUAUCGGGAAGGACAGGUGUGGAGCAGGGUGUCUGAGGCACUCAGGCCUUCCCGUCUCACCGAGCUGACCCUGGGCCCUACAAGCCAGGAUGGGACCCUAUGUGGGCAAGUGCUGACAGCCCAUGGGCGCUCCUUUCUGUAAAAGCUUGAUCCUUCCACCAAGACAAACCCUUAAUUAAUGCAAUCUGAUUUAUUAAGUACUUUGGGCACAGCAGAAAACAAGACAGCAACUGGUAAAAUAUCGUAGAAAAGAAAUAACUGGUUACAAUCGUCCAAACAAGCGUGCCCUGCCCUGCGGGUGAAGACAGCCUCGAGUUCCAUGGCCCAGUGAAUCCUGUGCCGAUGCUGAUGGGGCACAGCAGGACUGGGCUAUUCCACGUCAACCACGAGGGGUGUCAUGUAAUCAGAGUGUUUGAUGCCGAAGGUGACGACGGGGGCGCAGGGCUUGGUCAGGGUCACCUGGGAGAGGAGGGGCUAUGAGAGGAGCCAGCACCCCCACAUGCAGUUCUCUACCCUGGCUGGGGCUGGGCCACUGUCCUUCCUGAGCCUGGGGCCAAGGUGGCCAGAAGCUACACUCCCAGAUUUGAACACAGAGCACUCAGCGGUGGUUAGCUGUCAGUGUCUAAGGAAAGGGCAGGGCCUCUGCUUCCAUGUCGCUGAAGGGUUACCUGUGAGGCUGGUGCAGGUAGGGUAUGUGCAGGGUCCCGAGGGUGGAGGUGCUUCCCGUCCCCACCCUAACCCUCCACCCCCUCUUGACUGUCCUUCACAGCCUGACCCUUUUUCCCCUCCUCUGUGUCUAACCCCCCUCCCCUGCUCUUUCCUGCACAUGCCUUUGGGCCAGGGCCCCCACCCCACCCUGACCCCUCUGGGCUGUGCUCUUCCUGGACCUUCUCAGGGCUGUGGGCGCCUGGUCCUGGCUUGAGGGUCUUGUCCCCUGGAGGCGCUACACGGGCAGCCAUGGUGUACUGUGGUGCCUUGAACUUGGUCACCUGCAUGUCAGUCUGGCGGUAGGCUGCGGGACCUGGGGUCUGAGAGGCAAAGGAGGCUUAGAGAAACUCGGCCCGCCCAGGGCGUGCGGCCCUACAGGGCAGAGAGCAAACUUGGACAGAGGUCUCAGGCCUGAGUCAACAGAGCCAGCUACAAGUCGGUGCCUGUGCCUCAGGGUCCCCCUCUGUGUUCUGUCACCCUGCUUGUGGGGCACCUUCUCAGGUGGGGGUUACUUCCUCAAUUUCAGCCUCAUGCUGGCUAUGACAUCCCGAGUGUACCAGUCCUGGGAACAUCCCUGAGCAUGUGAGAGGCGUGCUUCCAGCGGGACACUGUCCCGUUGGACUCGGGGCCUGGGGCUGGUGAAAUCGGCAUGGACAAGGGCUGUUGGGUGCCGUGACACUGUUUCCCCAUCUCAGGCCCCUCCAGCUCUCCGGCACAUGCCCACCCAAGGCCUUUGCACUGGCUGUUUCUGAAACCAGGACCCUCCUCCCCAAAAUAGGUCAUGGUUUAUUUUUUCCUCCUCCUCUUCUCUCCAUGCAAUCCUAGCUAAGACUGCCUGUCACCCUCCAGACAGCACCAUCCUCUGCUGGGGCCUGGACCUCCUCACCACUGCAGUGUCACCCCAGCACGUGGCAGGCACCCAGAGGAUAGGGGGCUGAGGGGCUUUGGCAAGGCAGGGCCUAGCUGGUGGGUCCUGGGUUGUGGGGGAGGUUGGGGGGGCAGUUCUCUGUUCUCAGCCGGGGGGACCCUUGCCUUGCGUAGGUCGUCGCUGAAGCCGCCCAGCUUGCUGCGACCCUUGAUGGAAAAGGAGGGCUGGGAGACCUUCCCGACGGUGUGGGGCCCCAUCACCAUGGGCAGCAUGUACGCAGCGGGGCCUGCAGGGUGGACGUGUUCCUCAGGCCAGAACAGGGCCCACUACCCCUUCCCUGGGGCUUUUCCCCAACCCUGGAGAUCAGCCAUCAGGCUGCCCCGUCUCACGCACCCCACCCAGGAUCCCCGGAUCCAUUUGGCUGAGGAUCGUUGGGGCUGUUGCGGACCUGGGGUGCUGUCCACUCGGAACGUCUUUGUCCGGGCAGAGAUGGAGUGGCUGGGCGCUGAGUGGAACAUGAACUUGGUGGAUUUCUCUGGAAAGUAGUCACCUGGACAAGGAGCCAAGGGCGUUGCUGGGACAACAAGCAGGUGGGUAUGCAGCCCUGUCUGGGGGCUCAAGGAGGGCUCCCCAACAUUCUAGGCAUGGGGCCUCUGGGCUUCAACACAGGUGGUAACCAGGUCUGGUCAGGGGGUGUCCAGGAUGGAAAUGCUGCCCUCAGGGCUGGGGAGACAAAGGCCAUUUUUGAGCAGGGAGAGGGGUGUCUGAUGUGGUCUUGCCAGAGAAAGGUCUAGGUUGGAGCUGGGCCCUAGGGUCAGAGUCUUCUCUGUCCAGGUGUGAUGGCGACCCCUCAGGAGAGAAAGAUGGGACAGGAGGGGCAGUAUGGCUGAGCUCUCACACCCUUGUGGACAUGAGGUUAGGGGGACCCAGCAGGGAGGGGCAGGCUGGAGGCUGCAUAGGGCAGGAGCCUGAGCGGGGGGUCACUAACCUGGGCCAGGAGUCAGCAUGGUCUUGGUGUGGUAGCGCCCCAGGAUGGAGUAGGCAGGGCCAAGGUCCUUGCCAGUCCUCAGUAUCUUGGGGUUUACAUUGUAGCGGGGCCCUGGGGAGCAGUUCUCUGCCAGAAGCAUGGGGGCUCCACGGAAGCUGUAGGCUGGUGCGCGUAGCUUGGUGGGCGUGUGCUUCAUGAAGCCUGUGGACGCAGCGGGCCCUGAGCAGUCUGGAGCCUGACCUGCCCUUCUCCCCGCUGGGAGUCAGGGAUUGAGCCCCAGGCCCUCCCUGAACCCCCACCCUCAGGCCUUCCCCAGGCCACCUACACUCCUGUUUCCUGACCCUCCCCACAGGCUCUCAAGCUCUUACCUGUUGUUGGUGGAAUCAGGUACUUGGGUCCGGGGCUGCUGUAGAGGGCCAUGAUGGGUCCCCGGGGGCGAUGGGGCCUCCAGGUGCCAAUCCAUACCUCCUCCAUCAUGGCCAGCUCUGUCUACAAAUGAGAGGGUUACCAGGUGCUGGGAGGCCCAGCCCUGUCCCAUGCCAGCCCUGAUGUCCCCAUCCCUGCUCCUUCCGACACUGAAGAGCAGACCUGCUGAAGCUGCUACAGGAUUGUCAGUGGGGACUCCAGCUGGGAGCCAGGAGUUAGGGACCGUGGGAGCUUUCUGCAUAGGAUUGUGAAUGCCUCACCAGCUUAACCCUAACCCAGAGUUGCUGUCCAUGGUGGCCCUCAACUCACCACGCUUCUCAGCUGUAAGGAGGCCCUGGGCCAGUUUCUCCUACUUGGAGUGGUGAUGAAAGGUGGGGAACGUCUUGGUUGAGGCUGUGCUGAGGGGCAAGGAGGGGGCUGCCUAGGAGGGGGCUGCCUAGGAGGGGGCUAUAACUUCUUCGGUGCAGGGACAGCACUCCAGGCAGCCUACGGUCCCAUCCUCCUCAGAGACCGUCCUGUCCCCUCUGGUCUUUGUACCAGGGAGUUCCUGCAAAAGGAGCAUGGAGAGGAAGGCCUCCCUCUCUCUUCAGGGGCUUACAGAACUGGGGAGAGGUCCCCCACUCUAAAUUCUAGAAUGUGGCUCUGUGCUCUGUGGGAUGACAGGUUCUAGAUUACUGUCAGUGUGACCAAGACAAUGACCUCAGCCUUAGAAUCCUCACCAGAGCUCACCACCAGGUACCCCUUACCAUGUCCCCUUACCGGGUCCUCUCACCAAGUUCCCCCAACAGGUCCUCUCACUAGGUCCCCUCAACAGGUCGCCUCUAAAUGUCCCCCUCACCAGGUCCCCCCCAGCCAGGUCCCGCCACCCCCUCCUCCCCAACCAGGUCUUCUCAUCAGGUCCUUCUUACCAGGUUCCCUCACUAGGUCUCCUCACCAGACCCCCCUCCUCAGGUUCCCUCACCAGGCACCCCCUUACCAGUCCCCUCACCAGCUCCCUCAUAAUCAAGUCCUCCAGGGCACUCUCCCUAGGGCUUCCUCAGCCAUGGCCUCCCUGCCAGCCUCAGACAGGUCAGAGGUAUGGAGAGGAGGGCUGCGGCAGUGAAGUUUCAGGGCUCAGCACUGAGGAUGGCUGAGGAUGUGGCAGCUCCACUCAGUUGUGCCCCCGGAAGAGACCAGAGAUUUGGGCCACUGAGAUGCUGGAAGGUUCUGGCUAUGGCAGAGCCUGGGAUCCAGGGUCAGGGUCUGUACCGGUUGUGGUGGGCGCUGCUGCUGCCCUGGCUGACCUCAGAGGCUGCUCACCUGCGGCUCCCAACCUUGGACAUGGGUGCACCUUUUUCUUGGCCUUGUCAGGGGUCCUUUUGGGGCCCAAGCUCCUCCCAGUGUUUUCCAGGCAGACUCUUUUCUUGGGCGACUUUGGGAAGAGAGAUUGUUCUGAAACCCGCCGGACCUGGGCCGCCUGUGUGACUGUACGUUUGCUGUGCACAGCUACUGUCUUACAGCACCAGCGUUCAGAUGCUGAGCACCCCUGCCCUGACCUAGUCUGUGGGCGACAGGGGGUCUGUGCCCACCCAGUUCUGGACACUUCCUGUGUCUGGGGCUCCCUGCCCCUCCCACCUCAUACUGCUGCCUCUGCCACCCGUCUCCCUCCGACGCCCCGUGUCCACGUGGCGCUGUCUGGCUCUGUGCUCUGUCCACCUGCCUACGUGGUAUCUGCCUGGAUUUCCAUUUUGGGUCUUGCCUGUGGUGUGCCUGCUCCUGUGUGGACCCUGUGUCUGUGUGUCCCUCUGUGUGGGUAACCUUGACAUGUGUGCUCCUUGAGUGGGACCCUGUGUAUGUGGCUGUGUCCCUCUGUCGGGGGAGAGACAGGAAUCAGAGCCUGAGCUGCAGAAGGCUUUAUUGAUUAAACGGUUUGAGGGCGAAUUUCCAUGUGGGGAGGUGAUGGUGGGCAGCGUGUCCAUGGCUGCCUGUGUGCUCGGUCCUGUGGCUGAGCCUCGUCUGUGGUCCACUUAGGCAUCGUCCACACUGCCCAUCACUUGCACCUGGAAGGCAGACAGUGGGCUAAGAGAGCUGUGAUCGAUAACUGGAGAGCCACAGCUCCAUCAGGCAAGCAAGGCCCUUGGUGGGGGGUCUGGAUGUGUGUGCAUGCGUGAUGGUGUGUACACGUGUGGGUGUGAGCAUGCAUGUGUGAAUGUGUUUACGGUGUGUGUCCCACGUCUGCACCUGUGUUUGCAUCUCUGUGUGCACAUGUGUGCCUGCCGACUGGGGAGGAGCAGGUCCUUGGUAUCUGGGGGCCGCUCUGUGGACAGGAGGUCUGUGGUGUCCCCCUCAGCUGGCUGAUGUGGGUCCAAUGUCUGUGGGUGUUGGGAUGUGUGUGGGUGGUAGGCUGUAGGGGUGUUGUGUUGGGUGGUCUUGGUAAGGCUUCAGGUCUUUAGGGAGUGGGGUGUCCCCGCAGCCCCCGUACCAGCAGUUGGACCAGCUGUGCCUUGUGCAUGGGCUGCAGGCCGUCUAUGCAGGACUUGAGUUCAGUCAGGGCUGCCUUGGCAUCCUGGUUGACAUUGUACUUGCCCAGGGGCCCCUCAUAGAGCUCCUCUGGGGUCCCCACCAGCAGUGUUUGUAGGAAGUCCAUGAAAAACUCAGCGUUGUCCUCCCCUGUGGCCAGCCCUGCAUCACAGGCGAGAUGGCGCCAGGACAGGACAGGGAGACUGGUGUAACCCCAGUCCUGGACCUAUCCCAGGGCUCCAACCUGCAUGUCUCCAGACCCUCCCCGUCAAUGCCCACCUCUCCCCCCAUGUCUUCACCUUGCUCAAAGACCCCUCCAUGUCCCUUAAUCUUAGCUGCUCCAGUUUCCUGGGAUCUCAGCGUUCCCUGGGAUGACCAGGGAAGCAAAGUUAAGCCUCUGGUGUGGGGAAAAUGUGAUUCCUGGAAGGGUCAGGUCAGGCUGGACUAGGCUGGGGUUGGUGAUGUCAGCUGGGCUUUGUCUUUAGUUGGGGUGUGGCUGGGUGGGGACUGGUUGGUUCUGUAGGGUCCUUGUCCACUUCUGUUACAGAUGCAGGUGGAGUGUUCACUGCACGGACCCGAUGCCAGGAUUUUACCUCCUCAGGUACCCCCAACCCCCCCGCUCCCAAAUAUUCUGGAAGCCCCAGUGGCACAGACUCACCGCAGAUGCAGAACAGGGUGAGGGCCACCAGCAGGAGGGCACUGCUCACCUUCAUGCCGGCAGUCUCAGGAGCUGCCUCCAGCCAGAAUCCCGAGAUUUUAUGCCUCAGCGGGCAGCACCUCUCCUAGAGGGUGGGCCGGACCUGCCCAUUAGGACCUGGCAGCCAGCUCAGCAGUAGAAUCCAGGUUCUUGACGAACAUGGUGUCUUCCUUCUGAAGAAUCCCAGCCUUCUUAAAGAACCUGGUGACUUUCGCACCUUAAGUCUGUGAAAUCCUCAUUUUUUCACAAGUUCCUGCAUGCGGUGAUUGUGUCUUUCCGCCUUGGCACUCCUGGCACUUUGCACCUGCACAUCACAGACAGAAUCCACGCUGUGGAAGUGAUCAGUGGUGCAGGAGCGCACAGGAAACAGCAUUUCUAAUGACAAACGUCAGAGGAAGGCAUUUAAGCAGGGCCUGAAAAAUGAGCGGAGUUUCAAGUGAAGGCGUGCCAGCUGGGGAGAGGCUGAGGGAAGAGCAUGAAGGAAGGUGUGCAGAGGAGCAGGUGACCCUGAGCAGAACAGAGCCGCUGCUUCUGGAUCCCCUCUGCUAUUGCUUCUGCUGGAUGAGAUGACACCUGCUCAGCCAUGCUUUGAGGAGACAACGAGCCAAUGAGAGGGGGCCCGAGAACUCACAACCUUCAUUCACCACCAACUUGCCUGCCACAUGCUGAGCCUUUGGGUUAUAACCUGUACACACAAGAUUCUCUUAGGGUGGUUUUUCUUAUGAUAUCUUCCUACUGCAGGUAUGCUUAAGCUCACACCUCCCGCUCCCACCUGAAGAGACAAUAUUCUGUAUUUACAAGUUUUCUUCUUUUUUUUGUGACAUUUUAAUCAUCCCAGAAUGAAAGAGUAAACUCAUCAACCAGUCAAUCUCCCAUUCUAUCCUACCUUCUAGCUCUUCACAACCACUAGUCUGCCUUCUGUCUCUAUGGAUUCAUCUAUUCUGGGUAUUUUAUAUAAAUGGAAUUAUACAAUAUGUAUCUCUUUUGCUGUCCUAUUUCACUUAGCAUACUGUUUCUGAGGUUAAUCUAUGCUGAAACAUAUGUCAUAACUUCAUUCCUUAUGGCUGAGUAAUAUUCCAUAAUAUGGCUAUAUAUAUUAUAUGUCAUUUAGGCUGGUGUGCAGUGGUGCGAUCUUGGCUCACUGCAACCUCCACCUCCCAGGUUCAAGUGAUUCUCCUGCCUCAGGCUCCCCAGUAGCUGGGAUUACAGAUGCCUGCCAUCAUGCCCAACUAAUUUUUACAUUUUUAGUAGAGACAGGGUUUUACUAUAUUGGUCAGGCUGGUCUUGAACUCCUGACUCAAGUGAUCUUCUCACCUCGGCUUCCCAAAGUAAUGGGAUUACGGGCAUGAGUCACUGUGUCUGAACUGUAUGUACAAGUUCAACAUAUCAAAGUUUCCUUACUUGUAAAACAGGAACGAAAAACAGUGCCAAUGUCAUAUGAGUCACUGUCUGUUGGAAAACCCGAGCUGUCAUGACUGAAUGAUGCAGCCAAAGAUGCCAGCCCCACACUUGUGAUCCUUUGCCUUCUUCAUGCCUCUCGCCUCUGUUAUAUCGAACUGAGCACAGAAAGUCAACACCAGAACAAAAAUGCCAAAUUGCAGGGUUUAUUGCCGGCGACCACGGAGGACUCACGUCUCUCCAACCCGUGGCCCCGUAAAAGAGGGAGACAAGAUCUUUUAUACCCAUAAAAUCACCUUGGGGGUGAGGGGAGAGGAUGGGGUGAGGGGCUUCAGACAUUCCGAGGGCCAGUGGAUUCAAAUCACCUUCUGGGCGGAGAUGAGGGUGAGGGGAUUCCAGACAUUUCAAGGGCCAGGGGACUAUUUGACAUUCUGAUUGUUAUUUAAGGGGUUCACAGAGCUGAGAUUAACAUUCGUUUAUACAUCGUCUGGGUAGGGUUGGGAUCCAUAGAUUUUUAUUUACUUGGCGCCAGGAUGGAAUUAUCUGGGGGUGCUUACUCUGGGAAACAAAGGCCAGCAAUUCUGGCAUUUCCAGAUAAGAGGAGGUAUGCAGCUUUACCUCAAUUUGCAUCCUGCAAAUGAUCUAGCAGUUUACAGAAGCCAAGGUUAGCAGUCACUGUGAGGAGAAUGGAAACAGCUUUGUUCUUUAUAAAAUGGCAUUGUACAGGUUCUAACUCUAGGCCGGCUAUAUCACACCUCCCCUCCAUUUUCCAUCCUACUAUAAUCUGUACUUGCUGUCCCUCCCUCAACACGGGCAAUUCCCCUAACCCCCUUCUCUAGGGGUGUUUCCUAGUUUUAAGUAUCUCCUAAAUGCCGAUCAUACUCCGCUGUAACCUCCACCCAGACUGCUUUUCUCAGUGCCGGACUCAGAUAUGUUAUGCAGUUGCCUACUAGACUGGGAGUAGCAGAGGAUGGCACACAGGCAUCAAUAAUAUGUUACAAACAAACACUUAAGUCCUGCACACUCCAAAUGCUGCUCCUCACAUUACCCAUUUGCACAAGACAUUUGUAUGCAGUGCCAACAGCUGUGUGCAACAUAUCUCUCGCUCUGUUUUACUCUGCUCACACCUAAACAUUGUGAUAUAGCUGGCCUAGAGUUAGAACCAGUACAAUGCCAUUUUAUAAAGAACAAAGCUGUUUCCAUUCUCCUCACAAUGACUGCUAGCUAUAGCUUCUGUAAACUAAGAUGACCUUGCAAAAUGCAAAGAGAGGAAAAGCUGCAUACUUUCUCUUAUCUGUAACUGCCAGAAUUGCUGGCCUUUGUUUACCAAAGUAAGCACCCCCAGAUAAUUCCAUCCUGGUGCCAAGCAACUGAAAAAUCUGUGGACCCCACACCUGUCCAAAUAAUGUAUAAACUAAUGUUUACGCUGACCUCUGUAAACCACUUAGGUGGCAAUCAGAAUGACAAAAGUCCCCUGGCCCUUGGAACGUCUGGAGCCCCCUCACCCUCGUCUCAGCCUAGGAGGUGAUUGACAGCUUUCACCCCCAUCUCCACUCCUCACCCCCACUCCCAAGGUGGUUUUGCGGGUAUAAAAAGGUCUUGUCUCUCUUCUUUCGGGGCCACGGGUUGGGGAGACGUGAGUCCUCCGUGGUCGCCGGCAAUAAACCCUGGAAUUUGGCA